CGGGGAUCUCUGAGCGAGUUUGAUCCUGGCUCGGAUGAACGCUGGCGGUGAGCUUACCACUUGCAGGUCGAACGGGUUCUUCGGAACCAGUGGCGGACGGGUGAGUAACACGUGAGCAUCUACCUUCCGGACGGGGACAACAGCUGGAAACGGCUGCUAAUCCCCGAUGAGCCGAGAGGUAAAAGGCGUUAGCGCCGGAAGAGGAGCUCGCGGCCGAUUAGCUAGUUGGUAGGGUAAGGGCCUACCAAGGCGACGAUCGGUAGCCGGUCUGAGAGGAUGGUCGGCCACACUGGCACUGAGACACGGGCCAGACUCCUACGGGAGGCAGCAGUGGGGAAUCUUCCGCAAUGGGCGCAAGCCUGACGGAGCUACACCGCGUGAGGGAAGACGGCCUUUGGGCUGUAAACCUCUUUUCUCAGGGAAGAAGUUCUGACGGUACCUGAGGAAUCAGCCUCGGCUAACUCCGUGCCAGCAGCCGCGGUAAUACGGAGGAGGCAAGCGUUAUCCGGAAUUAUUGGGCGUAAAGCGUCCGCAGGGGGUUUUCCAAGUCUGCUGUCAAAGCCUGGGGCUCAACCCCAGCGGGGCAGUGGAAACUGGAAGACUAGAGUACGGCAGGGGUAGAGGGAAUUCCCAGUGUAGCGGUGAAAUGCGUAGAGAUUGGGAAGAACACCGGUGGCGAAAGCGCUCUACUGGGCCGUUACUGACCCUGAGGGACGAAAGCUAGGGGAGCGAAAGGGAUUAGAUACCCCUGUAGUCCUAGCUGUAAACGAUGGAUACUAGGCGUGGUUCGACUCGACCCGAGCCGUGCCGAAGCUAACGCGUUAAGUAUCCCGCCUGGGGAGUACGCGCGCAAGCGUGAAACUCAAAGGAAUUGACGGGGGCCCGCACAAGCGGUGGAGGAUGUGGUUUAAUUCGAUGCAACGCGAAGAACCUUACCAGGGCUUGACAUGCCGCGAACCCUCGGGAAACCGAGGGGUGCCUUCGGGAGCGCGGACACAGGUGGUGCAUGGCUGUCGUCAGCUCGUGUCGUGAGAUGUUGGGUUAAGUCCCGCAACGAGCGCAACCCUCGUCCUUAGUUGCCAGCAUUCAGUUGGGCACUCUAGGGAGACUGCCGGUGACAAACGGGAGGAAGGUGGGGAUGACGUCAAGUCAGCAUGCCCCUGAUGCCCUGGGCCACACACGUCCUACAAUGGUCGGGACAAAGGGCAGCGAGCUCGCGAGAGCCAGCGAAUCCCUCAAACCCGGCCUCAGUUCAGAUUGCAGGCUGCAACUCGCCUGCAUGAAGGCGGAAUCGCUAGUAAUCGCCGAUCAGAAUGCGGCGGUGAAUUCGUUCCCGGGCCUUGUACACACCGCCCGUCACACCAUGGAAGCUGGCCAUGCCCGAAGUCGUUACCCUAACCCUGCGGGGAGGGGGACGCCGAAGGCAGGGCUAGUGACUGGGGUGAAGUCGUAACAAGGUAGCCGUACGGCUACCU
rnacentral:rRNA from 1 species